AUUGAACGCUGGCGGCAUGCCUUACACAUGCAAGUCGAACGGCAGCACGGGAGCAAUCCUGGUGGCGAGUGGCGAACGGGUGAGUAAAGCAUCGGAACGUGCCCAGUCGUGGGGGAUAACGUAGCGAAAGCUACGCUAAUACCGCAUACGAUCUGUGGAUGAAAGCGGGGGACCGUAAGGCCUCGCGCGAUUGGAGCGGCCGAUGUCAGGUUAGGUAGUUGGUGAGGUAAAGGCUCACCAAGCCGACGAUCUGUAGCUGGUCUGAGAGGACGACCAGCCACACUGGGACUGAGACACGGCCCAGACUCCUACGGGAGGCAGCAGUGGGGAAUUUUGGACAAUGGGCGCAAGCCUGAUCCAGCAAUGCCGCGUGUAGGAUGAAGGCCUUCGGGUUGUAAACUGCUUUUGUACGGAGCGAAACGGCUUCCACUAAUACUGGGGGCUAAUGACGGUACCGUAAGAAUAAGCACCGGCUAACUACGUGCCAGCCGCCGCUGUAAAAC
rnacentral:rRNA from 1 species